UACGUAGGGGGCAAGCGUUGUCCGGAAUCAUUGGGCGUAAAGCGCGUGUAGGCGGUUCGGUAAGUCUGCUGUGAAAGUCCAGGGCUCAACCCUGGGAUGCCGGUGGAUACUGUCGAACUAGAGUACGGAAGAGGCGAGUGGAAUUCCCGGUGUAGCGGUGAAAUGCGCAGAUAUCGGGAGGAACACCAAUUGCGAAGGCAGCUCGCUGGGACGUCACUGACGCUGAGACGCGAAAGCAUGGGGAGCGAACAGG
rnacentral:rRNA from 1 species